rnacentral:rRNA from 1 species
GGGGAAUAUUGCACGAUGGGGGAAACCCUGAUGCAGCCAUGCCGCGUGUGUGAAGAAGGCCUUCGGGUUGUAAAGCACUUUCAGCGAGGAGGAAAGGUUGAUGCCUAAUACGUAUCAGCUGUGACGUUACUCGCAGAAGAAGCACCGGCUAACUCCGUGCCAGCAGCCGCGGUAAUACGGAGGGUGCAAGCGUUAAUCGGAAUUACUGGGCGUAAAGCGCACGCAGGCGGUUGGAUAAGUUAGAUGUGAAAGCCCCGGGCUCAACCUGGGAAUUGCAUUUAAAACUGUCCAGCUAGAGUCUUGUAGAGGGGGGUAGAAUUCCAGGUGUAGCGGUGAAAUGCGUAGAGAUCUGGAGGAAUACCGGUGGCGAAGGCAGCCCCCUGGGUCGAUACUGACGCUCAUGCACGAAAGCGUGGGGAGCAAAC